UCCCCGUCUUUAUUAUAGUUAUAAUUGUAGGAAAGAAAUUUAAUUAACCUUAAAUUAAUAGCUAAUUAAAUUUAGUAGCUAAACUUGUUCUUGAGAUGGAAUCAAAGAGAUAAUCUUACUCACAACUGUUAUAAAUUGUUUUGGUUUUCCAAAAAUUUUAAUUUUAAUUACCCAUUAUCCUAUGAAGCAUAUUAUUUAGAUACAAACAAUAAUAGGAAAUUAUUGACAUUAGCGUAAUCGAUUCGAAGAGAUACAUUAUAUUGAAAUAGUUAUCUAAUUAUGAUCAGCGUCCGAUCUAGUUUUGAUUAACGUCCGAUAACAAUUAUGGAUAUGCGGAAAAAUAAUCGUCGCCAAACAUAGUGCGUAAUCACGCUAGUAUUAUCGACUUGAUUGUAACGAAACCGAUCAACCGGCCGGCUGGCUGAUCGUCGAGAAGAAGAGAGGAAGAGACAGCCUCUUAAUCUUCGAUUAAUAAAAUAUUUUCGCGGUUCACUAUUUCUUAUAGUCGAUGCCGCGGCGCGACCAUGGCCCAGUGAGAUCGAAUGCGCUCACCUUCGGCCUCCAAAUACCGAUCUAUUCGAAACGGUGCCUAGAGCAACCUGGAGAUACACAGGCAUGUACACGUGUGCGCAAUAUUCCUUAUAUGCCCAGGCCAACGGCAUAUAUCUACCUAUAUCUAUUCGCAUAUACAAGACGCCGCCGCAUCGGCGCACAUACAUACAUACCUACAUACAUGGCCGAUACAUAUGCAGGCGCAUACGAAUACCCCUUGGGAUUACCUGCUGGCAGCGAAGGUGAUUCCCGACAGUUGAAGAAGUGGGCUACCAGGGAAUCAGGGGUAAAAUGUAAUUUCGACACGAGAGAGUUGGCCUUGUGCUAUCGGGAAGUUACAGUCGAGGCGUGAGAAUUCUUUCGAUCGCGGGGACUUCCGAUUCUCCCGGAUUCCAUUUUUUCCAUUACGAUAUGAAAAACUAGAUAAGAGAGACGAAUAUUGCACUUUAUUGUUUUUCGCGGUUGGAUAUUCUUAAGAGUGAACGUACAGAAUGUAUACUGCGAGAUACGACGAAAAAUUAUUGUAUGAAGUGUCGUACAACUCGAAAUAAAGUUUUUUAUGAUCUGUAAAUAAGUAAAUGGAUGUCUGCGUUCGUGAUCGAUAGUAAGAUAUAUUCAAUAUUGAAACGUUACAUUAGCUUCUAUCUAAAAAUACAAAAAAAAUUUUUAUUUUUACAAGACUUUGAUUUUCACGAAAGAUAACACUCAUAAAUUCUGUCAUAUUUUCAUUUCGUUUUCUCUCAGAAAAUUUCUUACUUUUUGUAUUACUUGUACAAUCCAUAAAUCGCUCUUACACCGUUAUGAAAUCAUUUCCAUCGGAAUCGUUGAUUCAAUUAACUCACGAGAAUGUAUAUUUUCAUUUCAAUUCACCGUUCAUCCGUACCGAUCGUCGUAUUUUUUGUUGCUUCGGGUUAAGUCGUUGAAGAAUUAGCGACAUCAGCGAAGAAAUUUCCCUAAUGCGGAUCGUUAUUAUGCGAUUUACUCUCCUGUUCUUUGGCCAGGAACCUGCGUGACGCUUCAACGCAUCGGAUCGAGAACGUGCACGUCGGGAUUGUCAUUCAAAUCGUGCGUCUAUAUGCAAAAGUGCGAUCUAUUACACGGCGAUCUUAUAAUGCGCAAUAGAUUUCGCGACGGAGAUCGAUCGUAUCAGGCAGGUUCGCGGGUUGACUUGACUGAACUGCAUUAAGCACCGUGUGUGCGUGUCAACACGCUAUAUAUAUAAUCUAGCUCAUAAAUUACGAUCGGCAAAUGCGAGAGUUUGCGUUAGACGAUGAUUAAUCACGCCGUCAGCUCGCGGGAAACAUUCACCGGCUGAGAGAGUCCGGAACUUCAACGAUUAUCGUUUUAACAGGUGCGUAGACAGUCCUCCGUCGCCGCGAAGCUGACGCCAAUACGCUACCGAAGGAAUCGGUUCCGGUGAAUGCAGCUAUGCUAUAUCGGACGGGAAGCCAUAUAUUUAUCGAACCGGUAUCAAUUCCGCCUUGUGCUAGUCGGAUUUUCGUAAUCCGUAUUUGAUAAACAUACCUGGAGCCGAGAUAGCUUGCGAUGCGCAUAUAUGUUGGACGAGCAUAUAUGUAUAUGGUUUUCGCGGAAACUGACAAACCCAAAGAGAGUUAAUAACUGUACGUGGAAAGAGCGAUUGCGAUAUGAAGAGAAAUAAAACCUAAAUUGAUUUCCCAAUCGGCCAUUAUGUCGAAUUGUAGAAAAAUAUUUCGAAAAUAAUAUCGUAAGUUAUUAUAGUAAUUAUCAGUCAUUAAGCAUGGGAUAAUAGAGGGUUGAUGAGCGUCGGAUUGAUACAUUUUUAAUCUUAAUCGUGAAUUGAUCUGCAAUUUGCGAGCCACGAUAGCUCGAAGGAAGUCCGAGCUGCGAGAGUGAUCGUGCUCCGUUUCCGAUAAUCUUACCGGAACGAGAUGGAUUUGCCGUUUCAGACGCUUCCUGUUUCAAGUACCUAUAUGGUAUAUUUUAAGACACGUGACGCAUGGCGUUUUAAAAGCCCGGCGUUAAAUGGCGUUGUAAAGAAAGACCCUCGAGUCUCCGUUCAACGGGGGCGUAUUGUUAAUAGUCUCUGAAUUAUGUGGCACACACCAUUAUGGUGCGAAAUGGUACUUAUAGAGUAUAAUUUCCGGAUAGUGGCCACACACAUCUUCUGAAGGCGACCGCGAAAUAAUGCGAUCGCAUUAAUCAUCGGAUGGACGGUCUGUUAAAUGGUUUAUAAAUGGAUUAAUAGAAUAUCCUCGUUUAUAAAUAAAAAAGAUAAAUUUUAUUUUAAUUUUUUGAGAAAUUUAUAUUUAGUGGAAGGUCGUACAAUAUAUACUGGCGUAGACCUCCUGGAACGGCACGCUCUUAUUUCUCGGAAACUAAAUAUUGCACGGUAUUAAUACUUAUAAAAACAUGAUCUGCUUAAAUGAUUAAAGAAAUAACAACCCAGUUCAUGACUUUUUUCUGUAUAAAAUCUACUAAAAAAGAAUCUUUACAUAUAUCGUGUUAUGUCUUGCGGAACAUAAAAUAUUUAUAUAACCAACAAAAAAAAUGUUUUACAUCGAAAUGAAGUGAGACUUCCACGAAUCCUUAUAUAUAUAUAUUAACUAGAGUAAUAUUUCUAAUAGUCGAGAGUGGAUAGUAACAAUUUAAAUUUAUUGCCAUAUUACUAGCUGCUAAACGAUAAUGUCGCUUUGAAAGAAUCGAAAUGGAUGUGAUUAACUCUAUCUCGACGGUGUAUCUUGAAAUUAUCCAUGAGUGCGAGAUUGUAACGCGGUAUCGCGAACGAAAUGCGACAUUAUGCGUACCCCUCCCCCUCCUCUCCCCUCGGCGGAGAUCUUUAUGUAACGCAUUGUCGCGAAGCAAUCGGCAUUACAUAAAGUAAGCAGCGAUUAUUACGAGCGCGUGCGAAUUUGUUAAAACGUUGUCGGUUAAUAUCAUACUUAUCUGCUAGUCCCCACACGAUCGUCAGCGCGGGUCGGUGGUUUUCCAAAGACGAGGAAACCGACGAUUAUUAUUCUCCUCAAGGCUGCUCGACAUAAAGAGAGGCGACAAGCGGAUACACGUGGAAAGCUAUUCGCCUAAUCGAUCAUCACGCAUGGUAUUCCCAUGGAAACGGUUGAAUCGAAGUAUCCGUAGUGUUAUAGUGUCCAUUCAAUGUUUACAGUAUCGACGUGAGCCUGGAUUGUUAUAUAUAGAGCGUUCCAUUUAUCGUAAAUAACAUCAACAGUAUUUACAAUUAUAAUGUCCGUAAUAUAACAAUGAUAUGUAAGCUAAUAGCUGAUAAUGCUAUGUGAGAAUCCGAUAAUGCUGUGUGUACACUGGACAAAUGAUUUCUUUAUCGUUAAAAAAAGUUUACUAUAUUUUGUGUUACAAUUAUCGCGAUUAUUAUCAAAUAAUUGUCACAUUAAUGAUCAUGAUAAUAUAAAGCUAAGUUACUUUCUAUUGUGGUAUAGGCACACUCUUGAUUAUCUAAUGUAUUACCGCAUGUGUAAUCACGUUAGAGAUUGAUUCAAUAAGGAACUAUUUCUCGGUUAACGUUCAGAUACUGUUUCAAUUAAGGCAAAAAUGCGAAAAUAUAUUGAGGGAGAUAAAAUUUUUUACUAGCUCGUAACGCACAUACGAACUCGCUAGAAUAGCUGUUCGGGAAACUCUGCUCGCGCACUUUAGAGGGUUAUCACUAUCGAGUUCUCCGCCGUUGCCCCUUCUACCGUCACCUUUUAUCGGCGCAUAAACGAGAAGGAAAGUUUCGCUUUAAAUUGGCAAACGAUUGCUUUAUAGCUUUUCCAUAAUUGAGGGUGAGGUAGCUCACGCCGACAGCAUUUCAUUCUCUCUUCCUUCUCCUCCACCCUCUCUGUGUAUAUGCCGCGAAUGCCUAAUAAGAUCGAGGAAACACCCGGAGAUUUCUGGAGCAAGGUCGUAAAUCGCUCGGGCCGGAGUAGCGGGGAAUAUAAUCUCCAGACGUUUCAAGUUCGCGCAGCCAUUAAAGUCAGAUCAGGCGAUCUGGACAGCUCACUCGGCUACUGUGUCGCUGGCUCAUCAGUUAUCCGUUGGUCAAGUUUGUUAAUACAAGUUCGGAUGUUCGCAUCGCUGCCGGGGAAAAAAUGCUGCCGCCUUGCGCAAUCGAAGUGCGAUGACAUCGCGAGAGAGUGACACUUCUCUUUUAUCCGGUUUUAAAACGGGGCGCAGAGGUGAUCGGAAACCGACGACCGACCGACCGGAUUGGAAAUUGCAGAGGCCUUGUUCGGGUCUGCCCUAUCAUUAGGUAGUUUGCAAAUUUAAACAAUGGUUUCCUACUACCGCUAGCACGAACCACCAUCGUGGUCGAGUACACGGCCAGCACGGUUACGCAACCGACCGGGAGAAUCACGUGAUGACCCUGAUUGGGAGCAAAGCCGGUGGGCAAGAAGAAGGCCCUCGAUCGAGAGAAAAGCAAAGAAAUCGCAAUCGAGCGCAAAACCGAUCACAACGACAAUACGAUCGUGUCGCGAGAGGAACUGACUAUCAACGUAAAAAAAAUCCACACUUGAUAAUCUUCAUCUUGCUGUGAAGCGAUUACGGUAUUUAUCAUCUACUAUUAUGUCGUUCAGUGUUGAUUAUUCUAUCCGUUCCUUUGUAGUCUGCUACACAACCUUGUAUAAGAUAUAUGAAAACAUUUUAUUGUUAAUCUCAUCAGAUAUUUUUCUCAGUGUGUCAAUUCCAUUUAUUAAAAGAGUCCAUUGAUGUGCGAUUGUGCAACAAUUAUGGCUUUUUUUGCUAUAAAUUUUCUGUAAGUAGGAAACGAUAAUUUAAAAACAUUUUUAGACGUGUAAUUAAAGAAUUUUUUAAAAAUUAUUUUAACGAGAUAUCCACAAGGAUAAUGGCUACAAAAAAUAGUUGGAGUGUUAACAUUAUUUUUAUUUCAUGUCGACGUAUUGUAACGUUUUCAUGAGUCUCGCGAAUAUUUGUUGAAUCAUCGAUGAAGUUACGUUAAUUCGUUUUAUAAUUUAUAACUGUUUUGUAACCGAAAGUGCAUCGAACUUUAGAAACGUUUUUACGAUCUCAAUUAGUACGAUUAUUUGUCGAGAUAAUGAAAUAACACGCGAGAAUGGAAUAACAGAUUAUUAAAAAAGAUUUUUGUAUCUUUACUUGGUGAAAACGACCACAUUUAAUCGGAUAAGUGAGGCACGUGCCGGACUGCGAUUAUGGUAAUUAUGUAAUAAAAGGGCAUAUUUAACGUUCCGUAUAAUUAAUCGACGAAUAAAACAUCGUGGCCAACGAGGUGAUGGCGUAAUCGACCGCAAUGCCGUACUUUUCGCUUCCUAUAUCGGCAGCACGAAUGGUAAAGUGCACUUCAAAUAGAAAAGCCAGAUUACUCACUCGAUUUCCUUUGUUGAACGCUGAAGGCGUGGAUCUCUGCACUGAGUUAUUUGCUUGUUAAAUGCACUAAUAUUAUGUACGUAUAUUCAAAUGUUGAUUUCAUUUCUCAUCUAAAGAAAAAAAAAAAGAUUUUCACAUAUUUUUAUACAUGUGUGAUUACAUUCCUAUAUGUUCUUUCGCGGAGUUUUUAAAACAUUUUAGUGUCAUUUAAAUUUGAAAGAAAAUUUAAUUUUCUGUCAUGUGAUUCUUUUUCACAUGUUUUUGAAGGUCCUAUUUAAAAUGCAUUUACAUUUAAACUUCAAAUUAGAAUUCUUUUUAAGUUCACUUAAAAACUGAACGAGACAAACAAGGGCUGUUUCGUAGUUUCUUAAAAUCAUAGCGUUUUUGAAAUUUUACGUGGUAAUUGUUGAUAAUUUGAUAUUAUCGUCCGAGAAGAUAUUGACGAGUUAAAUGAAUAGAUACAUAUGCAGGAAAUUUUGAUGGAAAAAUGUAAUUAUAAUUUUACGAAAAAUUUAGAAUCGAUAAAAAUGUGGAAUUUUAUAAAUAUGACUUCGUAAAACACAUCAAAGCCAAUUUUGGCCGUGAUGCAUCAUAAUUACCCAGGGGAAUGGUCGUAAGACCCAAGAACAAUUUUAUGCGGUAGAUUCGUAAAGUGGCGCGAGUUCCUUGGUUCCCCCGCGUGUCCUGCAUAAUCGAUUGUUCCUGACAGCAUCUUAAUUGCUCCCGGGUACCGUGGCCGGGGAAAACUCGGUCACAAUGACACCUCGCGUUUUCGAACGAACGACGAAUUCGUUCGAGCGCGGACAAGCGUUCUAAUUAAAUCCAUUUCCGGGGGAACAGACUCGCGUCGCGCCGGAGAAAUUAAGUCGCGACGGCUCAUUAACGUUCAAUCGCCGGUUAAUGCCGAUGCAAAAAUUCGCCGCUAAAGUUAAUUGAUCCGCCUUCCCCGCGGGAGCGGACGGAAAUAGAUGAAUUAAUUGCGGUCUGAGAUUUCUUUGCGUAAGGGACGCGACAGAAAUAGACGGCCAGCAUCCAUGUUGAAUUGCACAACGUUCACUGCUCCAGAGCCGGGAUGAUAGAAUAGCCACGAGAUCUUAAUUGACCCGAGGGAAUGCACGGCUAUGAACCGCGCGCCGCGUUACAUACAAUAUGCAGUCAGCAGCCACGCAUACGCAUGUAUAUGCAUUGUCUCGUCCCCGCGAGAAACGCUACAUGAGACUAAUGACGCCGUUUGCGACGCGAACUAAUCACGAGAGAAGUAGUAAGGAAGGCACUGACGUAUUACAUCUCAUCGAGCGAGAAUCGUGAUCUCGGUAGAUUCCGAGCGACUGAUUUCGGUGGCGACGAGUCAUUAGAAUGGAAAUGACAAUGCUCUCGUAGAAUAGUUGAAUAUAAAUUAGAAUAUCAGAACGAGAUCUAGAAGAGUAUAAAAACGUCUAGUCGCAUCUACUUUGAUUGCAUUCGCUGUCUAAUGUAUGUAUUAAUUAUACAAUUUCACAAUUUGCGGAUAGUUAUUAUAAUAAUUAGUUCUUGUUAUUACUAGAGUGAAACUAUGAAAAAUGUGCAGUAUGCAGUACACAGAAAGAAUUUUCUCUUAGAAUUUUCAAACCUUCAAGAUCAUAUUUACAAUAACAUGGACUUCGGAGAAUUUUAUGAUACUUUUAGUGAAAUUUUAUCAAAUUUAUAUUUAUAAAUAUUUUAUUAAAUUAUAAUAAAAUUCUUCGAAAUUCAUGUUGUCUUAUGACUACUAUGAUUUUAAUGGUAAAUUCUGAAAGAAAAUUCUCCUUGUGUAAAUCAUUAUGUACUUCAUGACGUAACAAAAAGUUCUUUUAGUUGCAACAAUAUCGUUCCUAGUAACUGAGAUGAUACUUUUGAAAAGCUCAGUGCGCCUGAUAAAAUUGUUAGAAUUCUUCUACGAAUUGCGCCUCUGCGGGUUAUGCAAGAGAAGAAACAGUUGAUUCGCGAAAUUUACGAGUGCACCAGAAUAUAUGUAGAUACUGGAGACGCGAGGUAAUUAGCAGCGAGCGAUAAAAUUAUCGGGAUGUACAACACGGACUGCGGCAUGCGAAGCAAAAGCGAGAUUUGAAGCAGGACCUCUGCUCUUGUGCUACCAGGCGCUUAAUCGAAUAUAAUCAUCAGCUAGCAUUCGCGUACCGACCUAGAAAGACAUAAUAGUGAUAAAGCAGAGUCGUGAGAAGAAAGACAACUAGGGAUUGGAUUGUAGAAAUAAACAAAUCUUAUACCGGGUUACGUCAUUUUUUAUCUACGAUCGAGUUAUUGAGUUGUCGCAUUUAAAACUUUCUUAGUUUUUAAAUUACUAACUGCAUUAUGAACCAGCGAUAACCAUUAACUAAUUUCCUAAGAUUGCAUCGCAGACGUUAAUUGCUAAUCUAUAUUUCAAAGAGUCAUGAAACCAAAAUUCGAUGGAGAUAAGAAGCAUUACGAUUUAUGAUUAAAAUAGAAUUAUUAAUUGGCAUUUAAUUAUAAAUCGAGUGUUAUAUAAAGUGAUUGAUCACGAUAUGUCGAUCAGCGAUGCAAAAUGGAGUUAUUUCACUAAAAGCACGUGUGACAAAGCAACUGCAUUCUUUUGUCUCCGGGUUUUUCCUGCAGGUAUAUACAUUAUGAAGCAUAUUAUAUGAAUUUUUGCGUAUAUCAUAAUUUUAAUAAUAAAGCGACGUGACGAAACCGAUAUUGUUUAUAACAAUCAUCACGGAAAACUCCGAUUUUAUGUCAUAAAUUUUGUCCCGUUUGCUCAAACGACAGCGUAUUUUUGCAAGUGCAACGGAUGAUGGAUACAGGGAGGGGUUGUUUUGCAGGAAGAGCAGGAAGAGCAAAUGCAGAGCAGGCGGAUGAAGUUAUAUUUUAUUUUUAUGAGCGUUUUAACAAGUAAAGAAUUACGCACACGAAUAACAUUUUACUGUUGGCUGGAGAAGCUUAUAUCAGCGAGAAAUAUCGAAUGCCCCGCAUGAGAUUCAUACGUGUAGCACCUGGAAAUGGCAUGAAAAUAAAUCCAGUUGCUUCUUAAUCCACUGUCUGUUGAUUUUUCGUUGUAUAGCACGUUCCAGGAAAUGAUGACUAAAUGCGAUGCAUUAUUUGAAUGCAUAAGGAAUUUUCACGUAAAAUUACAUGUGACUGAUUAUAUAUAUAUAUUUUUUUUUACGAAAAAAAGUUUAUUAUCUCUUUCACAAAGUGCUGUUUUGCGAGGGAAAAAUGAAAAAAAUUUUUUCUACAAUUGUUUAAUAUCACGAUAAAAUGCAAAUUUAUAGAAUUUUAUUAUACGUAAAAUAUUUUAUUUGGAGAGAAUAUUUAUUCGAAUUGUGUUUGAUUAAACUGAUUGGAUAUAUAGUGUGUUCCCGGUACCACGAUAUACUCGAUAGAAUACUGAGGACAACCCAUCGAUUGUCAUUGUUUGAUCGACCGGAGGAGUCUAGGGGGAAUUACUGGUUGGCGUGCAUGCAUGCUCAAUUGAGAGCGACACAAUAUUAUUCCUCGCUAUGAAUUUCGAUGCCUACAAAUUUAUCCUUAUGGUAGCCUAAUAAUAAUUGGACAUAUACAUAUUUAUUACAGUUUGAUGAAAUAAUUACAAAAGUUUAUUAUGCUUCUUUUUUGGAAAAACGACAAAUUUGUUAUUUGACAUAAUUCUCGAAAACUUUUCACAAGUGUUACUCGUACAUAUUAUGCUUUUAUAAAAAAAAAUUAUUUAAUUUUUUAUCAUUUUUGUGACAGCACAUACGUAUCUCAAAAUAUAUAAUAUAUACACAUAUCCAUAUACAUAUGUAUAUAUAUGGAAAUUUUAUUUUAUAUUUUUAUCAAUUAUUAUUUUACAUGUGUCCUCAGUCAAAACUUUCUACUACAAAGAAAAGAAAGAAUAACAUAUGAAAAUCUUUCCUAUAAAAAUAAAGUCUGUUUUUUAUAUUAUCAUGUAAAACUAAAAAUCCAUUUGUUUUAUUAUAUUUGCUCAUGAAUCAUUUACUACUUUGUAAUACAAAUAUUAUAUGUUAUUUUUAUAUUGAGAACAAUUAUAAAUAUUAUUCUCAAAAAAUUAUUAGGCUCUAUGUAGUCAGCUACACGUGAUCGAGCAACGCGCCACCAAUGACACUGUAGCCUCCAGCUUAAUCGGAUGAUUAUUCUGAGAUCAUUCUUACAACUGGACUGGAGGCGAUAUAUAUUUAUGGAUACACGGUUGUAACUGGCUCAAGCCGGACCAACUUGCGCUGCUUCCACGGUCUCUCUUUCUCUCUUUGUCCCUUCGAGAGCUACUUUUCUCAUCCAGUUUUUGUUCCGUUAAUUUCUAGGAUAUUUCAGGCCGCUUUCGUCGAGUCUUAAUCUCUUUAACCGUGGAUAAUUUGCUAUUUCGCGAAUACGCGGCACAAAGUGCUCGCAGUGGAUAUCUCGCGCUUCGCCGAAAGUUUCCUCUUCGUUUCUUAAUUCAACCGGCACACAAUAGUCUAUUUCUCGGAUCUCGAAUAAACCACCGUGACAAACGUAAAAUAGGAAUUUCUCCGUUAGUCGUCUUUCCCAGCGACGACGCGGCAGGAGAUUCGCAGAAAUGCUGAAGCGAGCUCCUCGCCGUUCACAUUAUAACGCAAUCAUUUACGUAUAUAACGAGCGUGUCGCGUGGUCGCGUUUAUUACGUUAUAUAAAUUACACACGUAACUAUGCGGCCGUCCGUUCGUGUUCAGAAUACGAUUUUUCGCCCAUUACGUCAUCUUUCCAUUCGGCUGUUCAUGGACUGCCUAAUAGCGCGCGGUAUUAUAAAAUUUUAUUUUAUUAAUACAUGACGCAGCUCGAUCGCCUCGAGUUUCUGACGAGGACAAAGUUUGAAGGCGGCUUCAAAGUUUGACGGCAGUGUCAGCGAUUCCUCGUUUGUCUCGUGUAUAAGUUAUCCUCGUCGCUGAUAGACGCUGCACACGUACGACCUUACCACGAUCCGGAUACAGUUCCGCGUAUCUCUCAUACGAAUACAUAAUUUUAGCUUCUUGAACACGCUCCUUGAAUACAUUGCCGCGAUACAUGCUCGCACGUAAAUAUCGUCAUCCGCCGCCAAAAUUUUAACCUUUAUUUCAUGCAUGCGUUAGAAAAUGAUUAAAUGAAUAAUCGAGCAGGACCACAUCGCAAUUUGUUAUCAAUCUUAUAUUUCUCUUUUAUCUAGUUUUUCAAAUUUAUAUAGUUAUGUGAGAGAUUAAAAAAUUAUUAAUUAGAUAUUAUUAUCGUUGUUUGUAUUUAUGACUGUGAAAGAUUAAAUUCGGCAACGCAGCUUGCAUAUUAAAUGCUGAGGGUGGAAACCGCGUCACUUGCAAGAUCGCAAAAAUUCAAUCUUUAGCGAAUCUUUAAUGAAUCUCUGUGAAAAUUAAUUCGAAGCUUUGAAAGUUUGACAAUGCUUGAAAUUUUUUUUUUAAACGCUGGUAAAUUAAAAGAAAGACGCGAUAUCAGAAAUAACACCUUUUCCAGCAUAAGUUUAAACUACAAGAAUAAGUAAGACCUUAAAGACUAAAAGUCACGAAAUUAUGAAUACCGCUAAGAACUAAGAGCCAACACAGGAUACUGUCGGUUCUUAGCGGCAUUUAAUAAUUUCGUGACUUUUAGUCUUUAGAGCCUUAUUUAUUUUUAUACCUCAUUCUUUUUUUUUUUUUUUUUUUUUCGUUGAAGCAUAAUGCAGCUGACGUCGUCGCUCGGAAUGCAGUUUAAAUCGCUAAUUACCGUAGAAUAGCUCAAGUUAAUGAAAACGACUAGAGCAGAACGGAUGAUUGCGCAGCAAUAGGCGAUUAAACGUCGUCUGAAUUGCCGUACCGAUACGAUGAUUGUUCAGAUAAAAAUAAUCCCUGCUCCUUUAAAUACUUCACUUCGAAGGCAAUAUUUUUUACCCCCAUCAAAGCGAAACCAAUGCGCGUAAAAUACAUUGUAUACGUAAGCUGCAUUAACGCGCGAUUCUUACUUUUACUUUUGACUAUUCAGGCAUUGAAAACUUUAUCGUCUUUCUUUCACGAUGCUGUGGACACAUUUUACUUCGAAAUGUGAAAGAAAUAGCUCGGAGCUUUAUUAUAUUUUCGCGUCUUUGUUCAAACUUGGUAUUUAACACUGAAAUGCCAAAGACGGACAAUUUGUCUGCCGGCAAUUUUGUGUUCGUCUACAGUAAUUAUCGCUUAAGUGCAUUUUCUCUCUCUAGUACUUUCAGAGAGAUGUGAUUAGACUUGGAUAAAUACACGGCGAAAUACGUUAUUGGUUGUAUAAAAUAAAAAUAUAAAAACAACAUGCGUCCUAAAAAUACAAGAGAAAUCGCACAGCAUCGGAAAAUCGCAUUUCAUAAAGGUAAAAAUUUUCUCUCGCGUAUCCGAAAGCGGAGAAUGUUAAAUGUAGAACACCCGAAUAUUCGAUACCGCGGCCGUACGCGAUAAAUCAUUCGACUCGGGAGCUCAGUUUGCAUAUCUUAACAUUAUCAACGGUAAAUCAAGCACGAAGAAAGUCGUUUUCACCGUAGACGCGGCUUCUUAUACAAUUUAACACAAAACGAGGCGAGGAAAAAAAGGAACGUACCUAAUAUGCCGUCCGGAGUUAAGUAGCGUGGUUUAUGUUCGCUUUUAUGAUGUCUCAUAUUUAUAGAAGCUCCUUCCUCUAGGAGAGAGUGUGUUCUCACGCGACUGAGUCCCGUCAAGUUAUGUUCCAACCGACACACAAAGCAGAGAUAAAUAUGUGCAACCGCUAGCAUGAAAGAAGCUUUUAUGACAGAAACAAUCGUAUAUCUUAUUCCCUGCGGCCUACGAAAGAAUAAUGAGUUUCCUCGUCCUUUUUUUUCAGGCUACCCGUAGGUAUAACAAUAUUUUCAUUUAAUUUUACAAUGUUUCCGCGAGAUACCGUCAUACGCAUGAUACCGUCAUGAAUGUCACGUAUCGCGCGAGGCGAAUUGAACCCGGCGAAUUACGGAUUCAUGAAACGUGCCGCAAACGGAGGACAGCGAUUUGGUGGCUGCAUAUUAAAACAAAGGAAAUGAUAUUGUCGGCAUUGUGCGUUGUAAAUUUUUAAUAUUCCGCACCGAGUACCUCCGGGUAGCUUCCGAGGAGCUUCCAAUAAAGUUUUCAGCUGAAA